AGCAGUAGCCGCGGUAAUACGGAGGGAGCUAGCGUUGUUCGGAAUUACUGGGCGUAAAGCGCACGUAGGCGGCUUUGUAAGUCAGAGGUGAAAGCCUGGAGCUCAACUCCAGAACUGCCUUUGAGACUGCAUCGCUCGAAUCCGGGAGAGGUGAGUGGAAUUCCGAGUGUAGAGGUGAAAUUCGUAGAUAUUCGGAAGAACACCAGUGGCGAAGGCGGCUCACUGGACCGGUAUUGACGCUGAGGUGCGAAAGCGUGGGGAGCAAACAGGAUUAGAUACCCGAGUAGUCCCUGUCUCUUAUAC
rnacentral:rRNA from 1 species